rnacentral:lncRNA from 1 species
GCUCGAAGGGCAGAUGACGCGCCGCUAGUGAGGUUAUUCUCAUUUUUAAGUGACGGGAUUGAAACAAAUUUUAGACGGAAAUCACAUAAUUAUAAGGAAAUCAAACGUCAGCUAAUACCAUCUACAAAAAAAUAAACAUCUCUUUGGCCUUCUUCGCAUAACAGAAGUGGAUAUUCCGGCGUGCCUGCCUUGUUUCAAUUCCGUCACUUAGUUAUUUAGUCACACAACGUGACUCUAUCACGUUAAUUAUGUACUAGUUAGAUUGCUAGCCACUCUGUGAUGGUUUAUCUCUAGAGUGGUGCUGUUUUUGUUGGAUAAUACACCAUACCUGAUUUUGCUACAACCAGCAUCUUCACCCAGGACCUUGCAGUAGGAUUUACUCACCACAGCAGCCAACCAGCGUUAUCGUGCCAAAAGAAUUCAUCUCUAUGGACUUGCAACCCUACUUUUAACCGGCUGUUGUGUAAAAGCUAAGUUUAUUUACUUUCUCAUUAUUUACUUUUGGGUAAGAUAUAUUUGCUACAUUGUAAACUUUUCGUAUGCAUACGAUUAGGAAGAGUACAUAUAUUUUCGUGAUAGAUAGGGUUUUAGGUCGUUGUUUUUUUCUUCUCUUUGAUUCAGUAUAAGUAGUAGUUAGUUUAAAUAAAUAAAAUCAGGUCUUGUUUAAUAAUCAUAAAUAAUUGUAUCUUAAAACUUAAUAGGGAACCGGGUUGUACAAUUUUGUCGCGGAUUUUAAAUAGGGAAUACGUUUAGUAGGUUUUUUUUUGUAUAAUAUAUAAAGAGUCACUGACCAACUCAUUUAUAUAGACCUUUUUGCUAUUCCAAC